rnacentral:rRNA from 1 species
CCCUUAGAUGUUCUGGGCCGCACGCGCGCUACACUGAUACGUUCAGCGAGUAUAUAACCUUGAUUGGAAAAUCUGGGUAAUCUUUUGAAUGCGUAUCGUGCUAGGGAUAGAUUAUUGCAAUUAUUAAUCUUGAACGAGGAAUUCCUAGUAAACGCAAGUCAUCAGCUUGCAUUGAUUACGCCCCUGCCCUUUGUACACACCGCCUGUCGCACAAACCGAUUGAAUGAUUCGGUGAAAAUUUUGGACAUCGAGAGUGGUGAUUAAUUUCGCUGCUCUUAAAUGGAAAGAAUUUAAACCUAAUUAUUUAGAGGAUUGUGAAGUCAUAACA